UACAGAGGGUGCGAGCGUUAAUCGGAAUUACUGGGCGUAAAGCGUGCGCAGACGGUUGCGUAAGUCAGAUGUGAAAGCCCCGGGCUCAACCUGGGGAUUGCAUUUGAGACUGCGUAGCUAGGGUGCGGAAGAGGGAAGCGGAAUUUCCGGUGUAGCGGUGAAAUGCGUAGAUAUCGGAAGGAACACCAGUGGCGAAAGCGGCUUCCUGGUCCAGCACCGACGUCAGGCACGAAAGCGUGGGGAGCAAACAGGG
rnacentral:rRNA from 1 species